GACGAACGCUGGCGGCGUGCUUAACACAUGCAAGUCGUGCGGUAAGGCCCUGUCGGGGGUACACGAGCGGCGAACGGGGGAGUAACACGUGAGCAACCUGCCCCUCACUUUGGGAUAAGUGCCGGAAACGGUGGCCAAUACCGGAAAUGACUACCUCACGCAUGUGGGGUGGUGGAAAGCCUUCGGGUGGUGGGGGGUGGGCUCGCGGUCUAUCAGCUCGUUGGUGGGGAGAUGGCCAACCAAGGCCUCGACGGGUAGCCGGCCUGGGAGGGUGGCCGGCCACACGGGGCCUGCGACACGGCCCAGUCUCCUACGGGAGGCAGCAGUGGGGAAUCUUGGACAAUGGGCGCAAGCCUGAUCCAGCAACGCCGCGUGCGGGAUGACGGCCUUCGGGUUGUAAACCUCUUUCGCCUGCGACGAAGCGAGAGUGACGGUAGCAGGUAAAGAAGCACCGGCCAACUACGUG
rnacentral:rRNA from 1 species